rfam:Mus musculus chromosome 1, GRC primary reference assembly.
AUCGCUUCUCUGCCUUUUGGCUAAGAUCAAGUGUAGAUUUUCUAGUAGCCACACUACAGCAAGUAAAAAAUUGUGUAGAAUUCUAAUUUUUUUCAAGACAGGGUCUCAUAUAUCCCAGGCUCGCCUUGAAAUAAGUGUCCAGGAAUGAGCUUAGCCUGCCGGUCCUCCUGAGAACAUCAUGUAGACAGC